rnacentral:rRNA from 1 species
CCUACGGGAGGCAGCAGUGGGGAAUAUUGGGCAAUGGGCGCAAGCCUGACCCAGCAACGCCGCGUGAAGGAAGAAGGCUUUCGGGUUGUAAACUUCUUUUAAGAGGGAAGAGCAGAAGACGGUACCUCUUGAAUAAGCCACGGCUAACUACGUGCCAGCAGCCGCGGUAAUACGUAGGUGGCAAGCGUUGUUCGGAUUUACUGGGUGUAAAGGGCGUGUAGCCGGGCUGACAAGGCAGAUGGGAAAUCCCGUGGCCCAACCACGGAACUGCAUUUGAAACUGGCGGUCUUGAGUAUCGGAGAGGCAGGCGGAAUGCCGAGUGUAGCGGUGAAAUGCAUAGAGAUCGUACAGAACACCGAUUGCGAAGGCAGCUUACCAAACUACGACUGACGUGGAGGCACGAAAGCGUGGGGAGCAAACAGGAUUAGAUACCCCUGUAGUC